rnacentral:rRNA from 1 species
GACGAACGCUGGCGGCGUGCUUAACACAUGCAAGUCGAGCGGUAAGGCCUUUCGGGGUACACGAGCGGCGAACGGGUGAGUAACACGUGAGCAAUCUGCCCUUCACUCUGGGAUAAGCGCCGGAAACGGCGUCUAAUACCGGAUACGACCAAUCCUCGCAUGGGGUGUUGGUGGAAAGUUCUGGCGGUGGAGGAUGAGCUCGCGGCCUAUCAGCUUGUUGGUGAGGUAAUGGCUCACCAAGGCUUCGACGGGUAGCCGGCCUGAGAGGGUGACCGGCCACACUGGGACUGAGACACGGCCCAGACUCCUACGGGAGGCAGCAGUGGGGAAUAUUGGACAGUGGGCGAAAGCCUGAUCCAGCAACGCCGCGUGAGGGAUGACGGCCUUCGGGUUGUAAACCUCUUUCAGCAGGGACGAAGCGCAAGUGACGGUACCUGCAGAAGAAGCACCGGCCAACUACGUGCCAGCCGCCGCGGUAACAC